rnacentral:rRNA from 1 species
AUUGAACGCUGGCGGCAUGCCUUACACAUGCAAGUCGAACGGUAACAGGUUAAGCUGACGAGUGUCGAACGGGUGAGUAAUGUAUCGGUACGUGCCCAGUCGUGGGGGAUAACUGCUCGAAUGAGCAGCUAAUACCGCAUACGACCUGAGGGUGAAAGUGGGGGAUCGCAAGACCACGCGCGAUUGGAGCGGUGGAUAUCAGAUUAGGUAGUUGGUGAGGUAAAGGCUCACCAAGUCGACGAUCUGUAGCUGGUCUGAGAGGACGACCAGCCACACUGGGACUGAGACACGGCCCAGACUCCUACGGGAGGCAGCAGUGGGGAAUUUUGGACAAUGGGCGCAAGCCUGAUCCAGCCAUGCCGCGUGCGGGAAGAAGGCCUUCGGGUUGUAAACCGCUUUUGUCAGGGAAGAAAAGGUGCUGGCUAAUACCUGGGACUCAUGACGGUACCUGAAGAAUAAGCACCGGCUAACUACGUG